rnacentral:rRNA from 1 species
GACGGAAGGUGCAAGCGUUGCCCGGAAUCACUGGGCGUAAAGGGUGCGUAGGCGGGUCUUUAAGUCAGGGGUGAAAUCCUGGAGCUCAACUCCAGAACUGCCUUUGAUACUGAAGAUCUUGAGUUCGGGAGAGGUGAGUGGAACUGCGAGUGUAGAGGUGAAAUUCGUAGAUAUUCGCAAGAACACCAGUGGCGAAGGCGGCUCACUGGCCCGAUACUGACGCUGAGGCACGAAAGCGUGGGGAGCAAACAGG